rnacentral:tRNA from 1 species
GCCAGCGUAGCUCAACGGUAGAGCGGCGCAUUCGUAAUGCGCAGGUUGUGGGUUCGAAUCCCACCGCUGGCUCCA